rnacentral:tRNA from 1 species
CGAAGUAGCUCAGUUGGUAGAGCAACUGAUUCGUAAUCAGUAGGUCGUAGGUUCGAGUCCUAUCUUCGGC